AAUGGGGGCAACCCUGAUCCAGCGACGCCGCGUGUGUGAAGAAGGCCUGCGGGUUGUAAAGCACUUUUAGUGGGGAUGAAAAGCCGAAGGCUAAUACCUUUCGGUCUUGACCUAACCCAAAGAAAAAGCACCGGCUAACUCUGUGCCAGCAGCCGCGGUAAUACAGAGGGUGCAAGCGUUAAUCGGAAUUACUGGGCGUAAAGCGUGCGUAGUCGGUUAUUCAAGUCGGGUGUGAAAGCCCCGGGCUCAACCUGGGAAUUGCAUUCGAUGCUGUUUAGCUAGAGUUCGGCAGAGGGAAGCGGAAUUUCCGGUGUAGCGGUGAAAUGCGUAGAUAUCGGAAGGAACAUCAGUGGCGAAAGCGGCUUCCUGGACCAGAACUGACGAUCAGGCACGAAAGCGUGGGGAGCAAA
rnacentral:rRNA from 1 species